UUGCUGCAAGCACAUGACAUAUAUGGUAUUAUUAAAUCCUAAGAAUUCAUCAUAUUAUCCCCAUUUUCAGCUAAGGAAACAAUCUGGGCAAGAAGUGACUUCACCAAGGUCACGGAGUCUUAGAAAAUGACCAAGCCAGGAGCCAAACACACUUCCCUCUGAUUCCAACCAAUGCAGCCUGUGCAGCUGAUCCCUUGGCAAGACUGCCUCCCAAGGGGACCAGGGUAGAGCAAGCAGGUGGUGAUGGAGGAGGGUCCCACUGGCCUUUGAAAGCAGGAGAACCCUUGCUCAUGGGCUGGGCCAGGAGCUGUAGCAUCUGCCAUUCUGGGAAGUUGUGGAGGAUCCCUCCUCUGCCCUACUCCAUUCCCACCUGACAGGGAAGGAAGCUUUGAUGCUGUUUUCUCACCCACGGGGGAUUGGGCUGUGUAAAACAAACUCACAGCCUGCAGCAAAACAGAUCCUGGAACAGCCCAAACAGAAAGGCAGGGGCUGUUUGCUCUGGCCCAAAGCCCCUGCCUUCCUGCUCAUCUCAGACGUGUGUCUCCACCUUGGCGUUCUGUCUGGGCUUCCUGUCAGUCCGAGUCUCUCUAUCCUCACUGUGAAUCUUACAGUGCUGCAGUUGCCUUGGGUUAUUGUGAAGAUCAAAUGACACAUUCCCUUUGGAAACUGUUAAAGACUUUACAAAGCAGGCCAGCCAGGGGGUGUUCAUGGAGAUGGCAGAAGCACCCCAGCGACAGUCCCAAUGUGCACGCCCAUUUUAAACCUCUGCUCACAUCACAUCUGCAAAAAUACUGCUGGCGAUGGCAAGUCACAUGGCUGAGCUGAAGCAAGGUAUGGAGAAAUCCACCCUGCUCAAAGUUACCAGGUAAAGAAUGUGGAUGGAUAAACCUAUUUUCCAGGGUGGGGUGAAGAGAUGGAAGCAAAAUCUAGCAUUCCACAGAACUUAAACUGGAUUUAAUUUUGAUUUCAAGAGAGAAUGAAAUGCUGCGUUAUGUGUAGAGCAGUUCAUGCUAGUUAUAAAAUCUAUCUUCAGGGACCACAAAUUUUACCAUGAGAAUAUUUAAAUUUUUAGUUUUUAUUUUAGUGAAAAUCUUAAAAUAACUUUUAGCAAGAACAUAUUCUGGGUGGUCUAGAACAGCGGUCCCCAACUUUUUUGGCAUCAGGGACUGGUUUCGUGGAAGACAAUUUUUCCACAGACGGAGGGGAUGGU